CGAGGUGGACACACGAAGGACCACAGUAAGCAACAUCACUGAUAGGGAUCUUGGAGGCUUCAACAUUCGACAGAAGAGAGACGCUGAUGUAGAAGAUAAUUCUACAAACAGUGAUGAUGAUCCUCUAGAUGACUAUGGGAAUAUUAACAUCACCAGCAACGAAAUCGACGUGGGUUGUACAGAUUGCUUGGAGAACACGGCCAAGACGUCAACUUCCUACCUGUUGGAUCAGAUGUUUAAAAAGGAG